CAUGCCUGUUUGAGUGUCUUG
rnacentral:rRNA from 2 species